AACGAACGCUGGCGGCAUGCCUAACACAUGCAAGUCGAACGAGACCUUCGGUUCUAGUGGCGCACGGGUGCGUAACGCGUGGGAACCUGCCCUUAGGUUCUGUAUAACUCCCCGUAAGGGGUGCUAAUACCGGUUAAUGUCUUCGGACCAAAGAUUUAUCGCCUUUGGAUGGGCCCGCGUUGGAUUAGCUAGUUGGUAGGGUAAAAGCCUACCAAGGCGACGAUCCAUAGCUGGUCUGAGAGGAUGAUCAGCCACACUGGGACUGAGACACGGCCCAGACUCCUACGGGAGGCAGCAGUGGGGAAUAUUGGACAAUGGGCGAAAGCCUGAUCCAGCAAUGCCGCGUGAGUGAUGAAGGCCUUAGGGUUGUAAAGCUCUUUUACCCGGGAUGAUAAUGACAGUACCGGGAGAAUAAGCUCCGGCUAACUCCGUG
rnacentral:rRNA from 1 species